UACAUGGGGUGCAAACGUUGCUCGGAAUUAUUGGGUGUAAAGCGCACGUAGGCGGUUCGUUAAGUCGGAUGUGAAAGCCCUCGGCUCAACUGAGGAAGUGCACCCGAAACUGGCGAGCUUGAGUACGAAAGAGGAAAGCGGAAUUCCACGUGUAGCGGUGAAAUGCGUAGAGAUGUGGAGGAACACCAGUGGCGAAGGCGGCUUUCUGGUCUGUAACUGACGCUGAGGCGCGAAAGCGUGGGGAGCAAACAGG
rnacentral:rRNA from 1 species